rnacentral:rRNA from 1 species
GCAAUCUGCCCUGCACUCUGGGACAAGCCUUGGAAACGAGGUCUAAUACCGGAUACGACCCUUGACCGCAUGGUCUUGGGUGGAAAGCUCCGGCGGUGCAGGAUGAGCCCGCGGCCUAUCAGCUUGUUGGUGGGGUGAUGGCCUACCAAGGCGACGACGGGUAGCCGGCCUGAGAGGGCGACCGGCCACACUGGGACUGAGACACGGCCCAGACUCCUACGGGAGGCAGCAGUGGGGAAUAUUCCGCAAUGGGCGGAAGCCUGACGCAGCGACGCCGCGUGAGGGAUGAAGGCCUUCGGGUUGUAAACCUCUUUCAGCAGGGACGAAGCGAGAGUGACGGUACCUGCAGAAGAAGCACCGGCUAACUACGUGCCAGCAGCCGCGGUAAUACGUAGGGUGCAAGCGUUGUCCGGAAUUAUUGGGCGUAAAGAGCUCGUAGGCGGCUGUCGCGUCGGAUGUGAAACCCGGGGCUUAACCCCGGGCUGCAUCGAUACGGGCAGGCUGGAGUGCUGGUAGGGGAGACUGGAAUUCCUGGUGUAGCGGUGAAAUGCGCAGAUAUCAGGAGGAACACCGGUGGCGAAGGCGGUCUCUGGGCCGUACUGACGCUGAGGAGCGAAAGCGUGGGGAGCGAACAGGAUUAGAUACCCUGGUAGUCCAUGCCGUAAACGUUGGGCACUAGGUGUGGGGUCCAUUCCACGGAUUCCUGUGCCGCAGCUAACGCAUUAAGCGCCCCGCCUGGGGAGUACGGCCGCAAGGCUAAAACUCAAAGAAUUGACGGGGGCCCGCACAAGCGGCGGAGCAUGCGGCUUAAUUCGAUGCGACGCGAAGAACCUUACCAGGGCUUGACAUGCACGGUGCCGCCGUAGAGAUACGGCUUCCUUUGGGGUCGUGCACAGGUGGUGCAUGGUUGUCGUCAGCUCGUGUCGUGAGAUGUUGGGUUAAGUCCCGCAACGAGCGCAACCCUCGUCCUGUAUUGCCAGCAGCAUCCUUCGGGGUGGCUGGGGACUUGCGGGAGACUGCCGGGGUCAACUCGGAGG